GACGAACGCUGGCGGCGUGCCUAAUACAUGCAAGUCGAGCGGACCUCUUCGGAGGUCAGCGGCGGACGGGUGAGUAACACGUGGGCAACCUGCCUGUAAGACUGGGAUAACUCUGGGAAACCGGAGCUAAUACCGGAUAUUAUGUCAAACCGCAUGGUUUGACAUUCAAAGACGGUUUCGGCUGUCACUUACAGAUGGGCCCGCGGCGCAUUAGCUAGUUGGUGAGGUGACGGCUCACCAAGGCGACGAUGCGUAGCCGACCUGAGAGGGUGAUCGGCCACACUGGGACUGAGACACGGCCCAGACUCCUACGGGAGGCAGCAGUAGGGAAUCUUCCGCAAUGGACGAAAGUCUGACGGAGCAACGCCGCGUGAGUGAUGAAGGUUUUCGGAUCGUAAAACUCUGUUGUCAGGGAAGAACAAGUGCCGGAGUAACUGCCGGCGCCUUGACGGUACCUGACCAGAAAGCCACGGCUAACUACGUGCCAGCAGCCGCCGUAA
rnacentral:rRNA from 1 species